rnacentral:rRNA from 1 species
UAACCUACCUCUGACUGGAGCAUAGCCCGAAGAAAUUCGGAUUAAUACUCCAUAAUACUGCGAGAAGGCAUCUUUUUUCAGUUAAAGCUUCGGCGGUCAGAGAUGGGCAUGCGUAACAUUAGCUGGUUGGUGAGGUAACAGCUCACCAAGGCUACGAUGUUUAGGGGGUCUGAGAGGAUGGUCCCCCACACUGGUACUGAGACACGGACCAGACUCCUACGGGAGGCAGCAGUGAGGAAUAUUGGUCAAUGGGCGAAAGCCUGAACCAGCCAUGCCGCGUGAAGGAUGACGGCCCUAUGGGUUGUAAACUUCUUUUAUACGGGAAGAAACCCCUCUACGUGUAGGGGGCUGACGGUACCGUACGAAUAAGCAUCGGCUAACUCCGUGCCAGCAGCCGCGGUAAUACGGAGGAUGCAAGCGUUAUCCGGAUUUAUUGGGUUUAAAGGGUGCGUAGGCGGAAAAUUAAGUCAGUGGUGAAAUCCUGCAGCUUAACUGUAGAAUUGUCAUUGAUACUGGUUUUCUUGAAUACAGUUGAGGUAGGCGGAAUGAGUAAUGUAGCGGUGAAAUGCUUAGAUAUUACUCAGAACACCAAUUGCGAAGGCAGCUUACUAAACUGUGAUUGACGCUGAGGCACGAAAGCGUGGGGAGCGAACAGGAUUAGAUACCCUGGUAGUCCACGCCGUAAACGAUGAUCACUCGUUGUUGGCAAUACACCGUCAGCGACUGAGCGAAAGUAUUAAGUGAUCCACCUGGGGAGUACGAUUGCAAGAUUGAAACUCAAAGGAAUUGACGGGGGCCCGCACAAGCGGAGGAACAUGUGGUUUAAUUCGAUGAUACGCGAGGAACCUUACCUGGGCUUAAAUGCAUAACGACGGAUCGGGAAACUGGUCUUUCUUCGGACGGAAUGCAAGGUGCUACAUGGCUGUCGUCAGCUCGUGCCGUGAGGUGUCGGGUUAAGUCCCAUAACGAGCGCAACCCUCAUCAUUAGUUGCCAGCGGGUAAUGCCGGGGACUCUAAUGAAACUGCCGGUGUAAACCGAGGGGAAGGCGAGGAUGACGUCAAGUCAGCACGGCCCUUAUGUCCAGGGCUACACACGUGUUACAAUGGUCAGUACAAAGGGCAGCUACCAGGCAACUGGAUGCUAAUCUCAAAAGCUGGUCACAGUUCGGAUCGGAGUCUGCAACUCGACUUCGUGAAGUUGGAUUCGCUAGUAAUCGCGCAUCAGCCAUGGCGCGGUGAUACGUUCCCGGGCCUUGUACACACCGCCCGUCAAGCCAUGGAA